UACGGAGGGGGCUAGCGUUGUUCGGAAUUACUGGGCGUAAAGCGCACGUAGGCGGCUAUUCAAGUCAGAGGUGAAAGCCCAGGGCUCAACCCUGGAACUGCCUUUGAAACUAGAUAGCUAGAAUCUUGGAGAGGCGAGUGGAAUUCCGAGUGUAGAGGUGAAAUUCGUAGAUAUUCGGAAGAACACCAGUGGCGAAGGCGACUCGCUGGACAAGUAUUGACGCUGAGGUGCGAAAGCGUGGGGAGCAAACAGGGAU
rnacentral:rRNA from 1 species